ACCUAGAUAUAAGAACAGCGAAUUGUUCAGACUGUCGAGACUGAACUUAAGUUCAUUAACGAGGGAAAAUCCAAAUUCGAAAGGGUUAAAACGGUAGAAAGUUCAAGCGUCUAAAUAGCGACCCAGGUGAAGGUGCGCCCGUUAAAAAUAAUGCGUUUGCGUGCUGCUAAUUGCGGUGAAUCUAUUUGCGUGGCGAUCCUCCGCAAAAUCGUUCGCCCCGAUUGAAAAGUAACUCGUUCUCUCUUCGUUCGUUCGAACGCGGUUGCGAAGUAUGUGGGACGGAGUCUCGGUGAUACAAGGUAUCCAAUUUUUGGCAUUGUCACCGGGCCAAUGUGAUCGUAAACUUGAAAAUCGAACGUUAGCACCUCGUUGUCUGGAUGAUUUCGCGCCGGAGGCCUCGUGAAUCAAGCCGGCCUCACGUGAUGUAAAUACACACGUGAUCCAGAUUGGCUUUCGUCGUGCGGCGAGCCAACGAGUUACCCGAGGUGGCUCAUAAAUUUCCGGGAAACUAUAUUUACAGAUCGUUAGCGGCCGCGGAUAGCUCGAAUUGCUCGAAUCGAAACAUUUCGGAGAAGUUUAUCGAAUCUUCAAUGUUUGUGAUAGCAGAAGAAAUGAUGAAAUUUAAAAGCAUUUCUAUUUUCUUAGAAACGCUAUAGAAUUUGAACAAAGCUUUCAGUCUCGACGAGUCUUAUUAACAUACAGAAAUAAACAAUUUGGUACGCGUAGAGAAUCCUGGAAGCUGCCAGUACGAAUUUUCAAUAGAAAGAACUGAAACGAGGCUCGCGGUAAAUAAAUCAAGCGUUUCAUCAGAGGAUUUUUCAACCGGGACCUUGGCGGAGGCUUCAACGUCGCGCGUGCGAGCUAAACACAAGCGGUUCUUGUUAAAAUUCGUUAACGAGCUUCUCGUUACAAUGAGGCGGUAAACUUACUUUGAGAAAAUUAAAGUCUGUCAGGGCGUACUUCUUGAAUCUUGGCAGGUUAGUCGCCGGCGGUGUGAUUCGUCCACUGGGGAAGUGGUCCGAGGAGUCUGAGUUCCUUUGGGUGUCCGAUGACUGCGAGGGUGCUGUGGAUAUCAAAAAGAAUGCACCUAAUGUUUUGCUUCUGAAUUUAAAACACAGGAACAAAUGUUAGUGCGAUGGGAACAGAGAAUUAUUUUGAUAGAAGAUUAGUUGGUCCAAUGGUGAAAUAAAAAGGUUGCAGUUAAUUAUGGAUGUUCUUCAAGAGGAUGAAUGCACCUAAUGUUUUCCUUUUGAAUUUAAAACACAGGAACAAAUGUUAGUGCGAUGGGAACAGAGAAUUAUUUUGAUAGAAGAUUAAUUGGUCCAAUGGUGAAAUAAAAAGGUUGCAGUUAAUCAUGGAUGUUCUUCAAAAGGAUGAAUGCACCUAAUGUUUUCCUUCUGAAUUUAAAACACAGGAACAAAUGUUAGUGCGAUGGGAACAGAGAAUUAUUUUGAUAGAAGAUUAAUUGGUCCAAUGGUGAAAUAAAAAGGUUGCAGUUAAUUAUGGAUAUUCUUCAAGAGGAUGAAUGCACAAUGUUUUCCUAUUGAAUUUAAAACACAGAAACAAAUGUUAGUGCGAUGGGAACUAAGAAUUAUUUUGAUAGAAGAUUAAUUGGCCUGAUGGUGAAAUUGCAGCAGCGCAUUGGAUCCUCUUCUGUGAUUUCUUCGAGCCAAGGUACAGCUAGAUUAAACGAUAUUUUCCUGGGAUUUCGAUUAAUAAGCGCAUUAAUUGUCGAUUUAUCUCUGGCAGGCGUACACGCUGGAUCUUGGCCGGCUGAGAUUUUUCGAAAAUAGAGCUGACCGUCGUACGACGCGAGGAGGACUUGUAAAUGAUCGAUUAGAGGAGAGUUAAGAAACCGAAUUAACGAUGAUGUCAUAUUAAAUUCAGCUGGAUCGCGGUAUCGUCCAUUGGCCACGAAGAUUAUUUAGAAUAUGGAUUUAUGAUUUAUGAAGUCGAACCAAGAGCAGCCAAGUUUGACUGCCUUACCAGAAACGUUGGAAUGAAAUGCAGAGAACGUGACAAGUUAAAUAGAAAGAAGAAUGAGAGUUUUGUUAAUGAAUUCUUUUAUUAAUUAUUAUAAUUUAGGCAAGACAGAGGUGGAAGUUAGUUGAUUGAAAAUAUUUUAACGACCUUGUUGCUAUUAUGAAUCAUUAUGCAACUGCCAGGUGGUCUCUUGAAUAAAUUGAAAGUUUGAUUAAAUUCUUGCAAUGUUUGUAACUCGAGUGGCUAACUUUUCUUCUCUGAAAAUUGAAACUCACCCCUCUUGAGUGCCUGCAAAGCUUCAGCCACGAGUUUCUGGUUCAAUCCGCAGAGAUUGCCAGUCAGUUUCUCACAUUUCUUGUGGCAAGCCAUGUCACAAUCUGUUUUCAAAUGUUUUCCACGUUGAUGCAUGUUUUAUUUGUCCUUACUACUAAAUAUCUUUGAUGCACCUUGUACACAGGCUAUUAUUUUUAAACAUUGCGUAUCAAGUUUGCAAAUGAUACAAACACUUGAAUAUAUACCAUCUGUUUGUCAUACUUUCACCAGAGAACACAGAUUCAGAGAGAGAACAGUACGCCCUAGUGCUUUUCUCUCAACUGAUACCCAAUGAACCCACCACCUAACAGCUAAAUUUAUCUUGUAACUUUUGUAUGCAGCUACAGCCACUCGUGGCUGCAUUAUGAUGCCUAGAAUAUUGUUAUGAAACCGCGUAGCACGUUAUAAAUAGGAGCGCUAAGUUCACAGUCGUGUGGAUCAGUUUGAAGCUAACAUAGAGAAGAAUCAAUUAAUCAUUUGUGAUAUACCAGUUGAAACCUGAUCAUGAUUCAAGGAUGCGAGAGUAAUUAAUAACUUUGCAAGAAGUGGAUGAGAAUUUUUGGUUGCUGUCCCUUCCUGUAAACAAACCUAGUGGACAAUGUCGUUGAACCUGUGACAAUAACCUUAAAUGACACUGAGUAUCUGGCUUCGCAUCUGCAAUGGUAACACCGGAUGCUUUUGAGGAUACUCUGAGAAGACAGCUGAACGUGGAACCAUAUUGCAACAGCUGAUCAUUUUCUAAUAACUUGGCAGUUCAUGAAAGCGAUUCUGACUAAAUCUGAACUGUAUGCCAAAGAAUGUUUUAUUGAUCCCUUGACUUUGGAUGUUGCUACUAUUGCUAACAUUUUGUCAUGUUUGUGCGAAGAAAGUACUUUUGCAUUUAUGAAAAUUUUCAGGAUUGUACUUCUUGCUUCGUUGCAAAAUUGCCUGAUGAUCUGACUGACUUAGAAUCAGGCAAUCUUGUUGGAAUGAUUCCAACAGAAACAUUUUUUCUUCUCAGAAUAUAUUAGAAGCUGUUGAACACGCGGAAGGAAUUACCUUGGUAUUUUCUUUUCACUCUGAUUACAUGUAACUCGUUGUCAGUUUCAGUAUUUCUAACGUGUAACAUUUGUGCUACAGAACUGUCUGUGAGUCAGCAAACAAAUAUACAUGCUCAAACGAACCCAUAAAAUUUUUAAAGCAUGCAGAAAGAAAGAAAGAAAGAAAGUAAGCCAUGAAUAUAAGUGACAGAAAACAACAAUUUGAAUGCAGUUAAGAAACACAGACUUGAUACUCGAACUGCCAAUUUUAACAAUACAUAAUCAAAAAGCCAAGAUAUAUUGAAACUGCAUGAACACCCGUCUUCCCAUUGUUUACAAGCACCACCCACGCUCAGAAGAGGCUAUAAAUUUUACACGAAUCUAGUAAACUUCCUGGCAGGUCGGUUAAACAGAGGUCAAGAGUCCUGAGGUGGCAAGAGACAGAAUGAUGGAACGUGCACGGUCAUUGUUUCGGUUAUUAUGCAAGCCCUGAGGAGUUCACAGGCUACUCGGCAAUUUUAUUGACGCGUAUCGGCAUGAUAAAAGCUCGACUGCCAAACGUUCUGCUCCCCUGGCGCAAUACGCGUUGCUAAAGGGAAGCCCGUAGCGAACACUUGUUACACGUAUUGCUGAAGUCGUUGCCUAUUGUUUUGGCUGGCGAGUGGACAGGAUUGAUUGACACAUUUCCAUUCAUGAAUCAAUAGCGCAUCUGCCUCGCUGCACGAUGGCAAACGAGUGGCAAUUGGGCACACGUGGCCGGCAGAAACAAUUGCAAAUCAUGGUAUCAGAGUUGCUAUCAUUUUUCAUUGUUUAUUGUUUACUGCAGGGGUCGCCAAACUUUUUGAGAUUUUUAAAAACAGGGGCGCCGGGGGAGAAAUAUUCUUAUUGAAAUUCUGUUAGAACAUUAAUUUAAUGUUUAUUAAAAUGUACCAAAUCAUAAAAUUAAUAUUUCUUAUAUAAAAUAUUUAUAAAUAAAAGUUGGAGGCCUUAGUUUGGUGACCACUGGUUAACAUAUUGGUGAAUAAAUUUAAGAACAAAUAUUUUUAAUUAAUUACAAUUAAUCUUCUCUGAUACCAGAACUAGAAUUACUAAGCGAGUCAACUCAAGAACAAAUCUUUUUAAUUAAUUACAAUUAAUCUUCUCUGAUACCAGAACUAGAAUUACUAAGCGAGUCAACUCAAGAACAAAUAUUUUUAAUUAAUUACAAUUAAUCUUCUCUGAUACUAGAACUAGAAUUACUAAGCGAGUCAACUCAAGAACAAAUCUUUUUAAUUAAUUACAAUUAAUCUUCUCUGAUACCAGAACUAGAAUUACUAAGCGAGUCAACUCAAGAACAAAUCUUUUUAAUUAAUUACAAUUAAUCUUCUCUGAUACCAGAACUAGAAUUACUAAGCGAGUCAACUCAAGAACAAAUAUUUUUAAUUAAUUACAAUUAAUCUUCUCUGAUACCAGAACUAGAAUCCUCACCAAGUGAGCCAGGUUUCUCAUUUAUUAAACUGUUUUUGUUGGAAUGCAUAUUGACUCUUGUUGAGAUAAACUGUUGUAUACGCUAGUUCAUGCUUCACUCUUUGUCUGUUUAUUUUAAACCGGUUGUUCUAAUAUUAAAAUGAUGAAAUAAGAAAACACCUUGGAAGAUAUAUCGUUACACUGCCUCACGUUUCAGGUUUACAAUAUAUUUUCUUCAACUCUGAGGAUUGAAAAUUAUGACAGGGUAAAGUGCAGCGUUUCUUGUACCCAUUUAUUAAUCCUGUACCCUCGGUACAUCAUUUGUAAACGAUGGCAUCAAUCAUUUCAGCUUGUUGAAAGUUACAACGUAAUUGCUGAUCUCGACCGAGGAUUUCACUUGGCAAGUGCAACAAGGAACGUUACACACGGUAGAAGUUUUAUCACGUGGAAAACGUACGUCCAGACGGAGCAGCCGCUAUUUUUAAUCCAAUCCGUCGUUUCUUGUAAUACCUUUUUGAUUUAUACCGACCUAGCCGUACCGAUCAAUUAAUCGUCACCCAGUACCGUAAUCGCUAAUGAGUUACUGGUUUGACGAAUCGUAUGUCAUAUUCGUGCGUUGCCAAAAAUCCUCGAAUAACAUUCUAGAAAGCUAUUAUAAUUACCGUGGAACCGUUCACGUUUCACGGUCUGUUGCAACACGAAUUUUAUUUCACUUUCAAGAACGAAAAAAACCAGGGAAAAACAUUUCUAUUUUCGUUGCCGCAAUCCUUUGUUGCGAACGGACGUCGCGUUCACGUAACUAGCCACCAGAGAAACCUCGAACGUCACUCCACGACCAAGAAUAAUGGGAAGAAACGAGGAAAGGAGAUAUCUACUUUCAACUGAGAGACUAUAUUUUCUAUGGAAAUAACAAUGAAUAUCUUUGUUUGUCAAAAGCAAGAGACUAGGUACAGUAAGAAGGGAAGAAAAUAAUCAGCUGACGAGGAAGAGAAGUGGAUGGAACCGAAGAAUGAAGAGAUACCUUACCGUGGACCACCAGUCAUCAGUGAACUGUGAUUCGAGAAAGCCCCCCCAUAGUAAUAGGGCAGACCGUCCCCGUAGUAAGGCAUGAUCGAAGCGUCCAAUUAUCCACUGCGUUCGCGGUGUAGCCGAGGGUUGACCUUAUAAAAUAGCACCAAUGUAGUAUGGGGGAGCAGCGGCACUAGCGGUUAGACGUUCUCGAAUACGACUGAGCGCGCCGCGGAAUCGCCGGCCGAAGACGCGUUCCCUCAGGUGUUCGCGAAGACGUUCUCACGGUUCAGGGAGCCAACGGUGACUGAGUUUAAGCCAGCGACCCAGUGUAAUAAUAGAAGUCUAGUGUACGAGGCUUCCUAGCGACUAACUAUACUAGCUGGACUCUAAUAACCCGUGCAACAGUCUCCGCCACCCCGUUUGCGAAUAAAUAUUUGCGUUUUCUGAUUGUUGCCUUUACGUGACUCACGAUCAGCAGACGGUAACUGGUGUCUGGUAAUUGAAAAAAAUUUACCAGAAACCAGAGUUCAAUUAGACCUUUUAUUUCUUAUGGUAUUUAGUGCCAUGUCAGGAAUAUGAAAGAAUGUUAAUUUGUAGGAAUUCAAACAGUGAUUACGUAAAGCAAUGUUCAAGAUGCGAGUAGUUUUCUAUUUAUAAGCGAUGGAAGAUUAUUAAGAAUAUUUUGUAAUUCAGUAACGUCAAGGAAACGACUCGAUUGUUGGCACAAUCUUGACCGUUCUUUAACGCCUUUACGUUCACUCGGAUGAUAAAUUUCAAAUGUUUAAAAAGAAAAUUUGUUAAUAGAGCGAUAAACCUGCGAUUCGAACAGAGAAAACAGGGCACACGCAUGCUUAUAGUGACAGAACACCGUCUCGUGUUGUUUCGUGGUUCGCGCCAAAUACUUCUUUCCUUCGUCGCCUAUUGUUACUGGUUCAGAGAAUCUUGGGAAUAGCCAGAUUCUAUUUUGAAUCAGAGUGGACUUAAUAUCAGAAUAGACAUAGUCAACUUGAGGUGUACAAUUGAAAUCAAUCUUUUUAAUUAAGUCUUUUGUAAAUUGUUUCAAGGUGCAUCAAAGUUGAACGAUGAAGUAUUUUCAUUUGUUACUCACCGUCGCAUCUCAGACCUUGCCUGAAGAAUCCAUAGAGCAGGGAACCGCAAUGGUCGCAGAAGGUCGGCGACAUGAAUGUGUGAGGCCGAAACCUGUGAGGUACAUCUACCUUGAAACGCUCCCUCAAGUACUGCCAUUGAACAAGCAUUCACAGAAUUAGCAUGUGGCUGAGUUUCAAUAAACAUCAUCAAUGUGUAGAAUAAACAAUUGUAAUUAUUUGUGGAAUAUCUAAAUAAUUAAUACAACUUGGCUGAUAAUUAUCAAUUAAAAAUUAAAAGAAGUAAUCCUUCUUAAAGAAUACUAAAUUAAAUGCAAGUGGAUUAUCUAUAAGAAAUAAAUAAGCAAACUAAUGUCAUCCACGUUAAUAUGCUUCUGGUACAAAGAAGAGGACAGUCUGUCUUAAGGAUCAUCCGAGAAAUUUUGUUCAUUAACGAAUGGAACGUUUCUUUUCUGUCGCAACGCGGAGGAAACUCGCAGGACCUCUUGAAGGUUGCAGAUGCGGACACUUACUAUCGUGUUUUCCGAUUCCCUGCCGCUCUCCGGACACUUGGUCAGCAGUUUAUCGUGGCACUUCUUGUGCACCGCUGUUUGGCAGGCUGGUAACCGCGAGAGAUGGAAAUAUAUUAAUAGAGAGAGCAAUGUUGUAUACACGAGCGCGUGGUCGUUAUAGAUAGAAAAAGUGAUGCGCGAAUUUAAUAUUUACCUUGGCACUGGUAUCCCUGCUUUCCGAAGCCCCUGCGACAGAAAGAAAGCACGCGUUUUGGGUGAAUCGAGAGAGUAAAAGGGAAUUGUCUGCUGGCUGAGAAAUAACCGAUACUUUUGAGUAAUGCCCGUACAAUGAAACUAUUUUUAGAUGCAUAAGCGUAUCGAGGAGGCAACUCUCUUAUGAUAAAUCGAGAUUCCUUCGGUUAUUUACCAGUCCACCGCGCUGAACAUUCUCGAUAAACGUAUCCUCUAUGGGUGUGCGAUGUUUCUUUUUAAUGACGCCUUUGGAUACUGUAUGUCAGUUUUAUGAUCAUCAUUAAAAAGGCUGGGGACUUAAGAAUGUUUGAGACUUUCAGGGUACCCUUAGGCCCUUGAUGAAACCAAGGGUUGGUAAUCUAUUUUUAAAUAUGACUUAUAUAGAAGCCUCAUAAGGGAGUGGUCAAAAGUGAGAUGGUAGAGUUUAUAGUGCCAUUUUUGACUGCCAUUGGCAACGGGCUCAAAAGUUAUGGGACUUUGAAAUGUUCAUAUUUGUAAGUGUAAAUUGCAUUACACAUGCAAUUUUCCCUGAAAUUCAUCUUAAUUGUUAGUAAACAUCUAAUCAUCUCAAAUUCAUGCCUUGUCAUUUUUAUACUUAAUUUUCACUUCAUAUUUCUAAUCAUUUAGACUUUAAAAUAUGAAAAUUUCAAAGUCCCAUGACUUUUGAACCCUUUGCCAAUGGCACUCAAAAAUUGCACUAUAAAUUCCUCAUUUCAUCUCUUUGGAAUAAACAUAGUCUGGAUGAGCAACUCUACCAUCCACUUUUGACCAUUCCCUUGUCAGGCAGUGUUAACCCUUUCGCUGCCACGGUGGUCCCAUGGGACCAGUGCUUGCCUUUUCAUUUGGGCCAUGGUGGUCACCACUAAUUAUAAAAAAAAUGUGCUAUUGGCAAGAUUGUAAAACAUUAUAAAAUUUUUAAUAUGAAAUUUCUGGCCCACUGAUGCAAGUUCAAAAAUUCGCCUGGCAGCGAAAGAGUUAAGGGGGUAGACGCGGGUAAUGCAGCGAGUGACAUUACCGACAGAGAUGGGACUAACAGGGGGUUCAGGAAAUUACGUUUUUCGCCCUUAUAUGGGAACAUUUAGGGCUGGGUGAGGGCUCAUUCGAAAGAGGAAGGUCCAAUGCAGGGCUGUAUGGUCAGGGUUCAACGAAAUUUUGUUAAUUUCUAAUAAUACGACAAAAUACAUCCGCAGAAUCCAAGAAUGCGCAGAAGGUCGGCGUUCUGAAGAAUUUGGCGACCAGUCUGUGUCCACGAACAAUGUGCACCUUGUUGUGUUUCACCGCGCCCCUUCUCCUGGUGAUGGCACCGCCGACGUUAUUUUCAUGCGGUAACGUCGACGCAGAAGCUAUGUCUCGCCGAGGGACCCUGGUCUUGUACACGUAUUUCCCUGUAGACGUCGAGGGCGGUAGAUCAGCUGGAUUCAGUACUGUAGACACUUUGGAUUGCCUAAUAAUGUAUCAGGAGCACGUACCGACUGGCUCACCUGUAUGUGUAUCCUUCCGCACCCACGCGUGCCUGUGGGCUUUUAUGGUUCACGGAGGACCUCCGGCUGGAGCCGGAACCGCCUCCAGCGUUGCGUCUCCUCGCAUGGGAACCACCGGUGAACAUCAUCUUCCACCGAUUCAAUUCACCACUUUACCAUUUAUCAUCAACAAAUUCAUUGGAUCUAAUUCAAUAGCAAAAGUCUGUUAUUUAAUAAGGAUUGAUAAGCGCGCCCUCCUUUCAGGUGCUAUCUCUUCAGCUUUCCGUUAGGAAUUUCGCCGCUUCUCGCCGCGUAAUGCCAGAAGAAUUUUCGUCCGUCAGCCAGCAACAUCCUCGCCCGAACACGCCUUGAACGACGCAUCGAUCACUUCCGCUUUCAACGAUUCCAGCUUUCAGAAGAGACUCGGAUCAUCCUGAGCAGCUAAUAAAAUUAACAAUUAAUACUCUGAUGGCCGGUGUAUCAGUAGCUAUGGCGCUAUUAAUUUUGAAGAGAUGAAUAAUUUUUUGAAAAUUUUCUAGAUAAGAAAAUAAUUAUUUUUUAAUUAUAGUACUAAUUGCUAGAGCUAAUAGUGCCCUAUUAAGUAUAAUAAGAAAUAUAAAUUCACUAAAGGCUGUCAUAGUAUUAAGAUGAAUGAUGGGAUAAAUAUUGUUAAGAGAACCUUUUAUAAGAAAUUUGAAGGAAACCGUUUAUAUUCUAAAUGUCCCUGUUUGCGAAGGCCACGCUUUUGACAAAUUGGAAGAAUGACUAAUACACAGAGAGGAUGUGUUACAUAGACCUAUGCCCCAAGGGAGACACUGGGUAACUGUAUACCUUUCUUUAUUAUUAUUAUUAUUUUUUUAAAUUUACUCUUCAUCUAUGUUGAUCAAACGUCCGGGCACGAUUCAUUGUUUCAUCAGGGACGUCUUGUGACCAAAUGUAGCGCUAAGAGAUGUAGAAACGUCAGGGUAACGCGGGUUCAACUGGUCGCACUUGGUACACUUGAAUUAUUUCUUGAAAUUUCUCAACAAUCCCACCGACUGAUCCCGUUAUCAAGUUCGUUGGAUAUUCAUGGAUAGUUGAACGAAUGUUGACGGACAGAGGAACUGGAUUUUGACGCCUAAAACGUUGUAGGUUUGCACGAAACUCUCGGAUCUAUAAAUAUCAGCCUGUUGAAUGCCGCCCGCCAUCGGUUCACCCAGCGCCACCGGUGGCAAAUAUUUUAGAAUUACCUCGUCGAGCGGGUUUUCCAGGCUGGAAAAGCAAUCUAAAUCUUCCAGAUAAAGAUUCCAGUUUCUUUAUGAAGAAUCCUAUUUUCUGUUGCUUAUCAAUUUCCUUGUAAUACUUUUUAUUCAGGGUGACAAAAAUCAAAUGAAAGGGAAAGGUAUAUUUUAGGAUAUUUCACCUUGUAUAUAAACUGAAAUGAAAAUUGUAUAAAAGUUGCACAAUCUUGUGGAAGUCGUAUAAUAAUUAUACUUUUAUUCCUUUGGAAAGGGUUAAAGAGAUAAGAUCAAUUUUGUAUAUAAAUGGAAUAGUAGGUUUUAUUUUCAUAACAUUUCCCAACAAAAUAAAAUUAUUUAUCACUCUAUACUGACCCUUCGUAAACUUGGAUAACUUUUGUAAGAAACUUGAAUGACACUGUGAAACAUCCUUCGCAGGAGCAAUGAGAAAUGUUGAAUAAGGAUCUCACCGUAUUAAAUAUAAAGUAUCUUUUUUAUUGUUUAGAUUAUCCUAAAACAAGAGAUUUUUCUGAAUAGCUCUACUAAUGUGUAACAGUUUUAAAAUGUAUAUGUUUCCAUUCUUAAGACGGUAACCACAAUUCUCUUCCUCUGCGCCUCUAAUUUAGGAUCCUUCUUCAAAGGUGUCUUUUUAUUCGCAGAUCCCAUCGGUGAAAUGAAAACACAGACUUUCUUUAGGUAGCUUUGUUUCUUUUUAUGCAAACAUUUGUAUUCUUUUUUUUUUUCUUUUUUCCUUCUUUUUCCAUUCUUAUGAUUAACGAUGUGUACAGUGAAUCUGUUUUCUGUAAUAUAGCAAGUACAGAGAAAUGUAUUUAUUGGUGAUUGUAUUGUUAGAUAGAGUUAAGUAAUAUCCUUUUCUUUUUUUUUUUUACUUUCUGUUACUGUGUAUGUGUAUGUGUGUAUAUCACGUUAAGGACUCGUGAAUUCGUCCUUCGUCUCCCCCGUCGUGACAGAAACGCGAGUCUUCGUGUGAUAAAUAUUGCUAAGCGAAAUUAAAGAAAAGCCGCCUCGAGCACAGCCUUCUUACGUCGCGGACGCGACGAGGAAACGGCGCGUUUCUCUUAAACGCUAUGUACAACUAAAAUGAGAAAUACAAACAAGUUGGAUCAAUCGCGUUAUAUUUUGUGCUUAACAGAGUCGUGUCGCAAUCGGAGAUUGCAACUGCAACCGUUUCCUCGUCGCCGGACACGUGUCCAUUGAGCUGUUUCACUUUCGCUACACGUUAAAUAACCAAACUAAUAGUAACGUCUUAGAAAGUAUAAUAUUUAUAUAUAUAUAUAUAUAUAUAUUUAUAUAUGUAUGUAUAGCCGACGAGAAAUAGAAUUCUAAAUCGAUACGAGCAUUGCUACCGUAAAAGUUGAAGUGAUUCCUUACAAAGAGAGAGGCUGACUUCUUAUUUUUGAAAAAAUUAAAACGUUGCCCUGGUUUUCGUUCUUUCGUUUCACGCUACAGAUCCAUGAUCUAAUUAUUAUACUAUUAUCAAAAAUCUCUACCUAGUCGUUCCAUGACUCGCGAAUAAAAAAAAAAAAA